CCUACGGGCGGUGCAGUGGGGAAUAUUGCACAAUGGGCGCAAGCCUGAUGCAGCCAUGCCGCGUGUGUGAAGAAGGCCUUCGGGUUGUAAAGCACUUUCAGCGGGGAGGAAGGCGGUGAGGUUAAUAACCUCAUCGAUUGACGUUACCCGCAGAAGAAGCACCGGCUAACUCCGUGCCAGCAGCCGCGGUAAUACGGAGGGUGCAAGCGUUAAUCGGAAUUACUGGGCGUAAAGCGCACGCAGGCGGUCUGUCAAGUCGGAUGUGAAAUCCCCGGGCUCAACCUGGGAACUGCAUUCGAAACUGGCAGGCUAGGGUCUUGUAGAGGGGGGUAGAAUUCCAGGUGUAGCGGUGAAAUGCGUAGAGAUCUGGAGGAAUACCGGUGGCGAAGGCGGCCCCCUGGACAAAGACUGACGCUCAGGUGCGAAAGCGUGGGGAGCAAACAGGAUUAGAUACCCCAGUAGUC
rnacentral:rRNA from 1 species